CUACCAUGUGUGGACACAGCAAGAAGGCAGCAUCUAUAAGCUAGGAAGGAGGCCCUCACCAGACUUGGAAUCUGCUGGCUUCCUGAUCUUGGCCUUUCUAGCCUCCAGAACUGAGAGCCUGGGCAGGUUUUCUAUUCUCCUGAGUGGAACCAUCAGACUUUUCUUGAGGGAUUGGCCCUCUAGUGAAGAGCAUGGAGUGGACUGGGCCAGGGAAAGAUCCUCAGAUAAUCCUUACAUACUAGAAUGAGGUGAAGCCAGAAAGGAAGAGUCAUAAUCAAAGAAGAGAGUGAUCAAGAAUCCAAAAUAGACAGAGAGAGCAGGCUCUUAGAGAAAUGGGAGAACUACCGCACUGACUCUGCACGUAGGAGACAGGCAGGAGAGGAGCGCCCCAGCCAGAGCUCAACAUGCGCAAACAGGAAGUGUGUCCGAGGUUUUCUGGAGCUCACAGGAGCCGGGGACCCACAGCCAGACGUUUAUCUGAAAGAAAAGCAGACAAGACAAACUAAAUCAGCAACCAUCCCUUUGGAUGCCAGCUGACCUCGGAUGGAGAUUUAGUGCUAGAUGUAAAAGGCUUUGUUUACAGACAAUUAAAAACCACAUAAAUUUAAAUUGUCAAAGAAGAAAUGGUUUCCAAAGCUUCUAACAGCCUGGUAGCCCCUCCUCAGCCCUGUGCAGGAAAGGCCCAGAGGCAAAUACAAAGCCACCAACCCAAAUGCCUGUGGAGUUUGCCAGAAAGCCAGAUCCUGCUGCUUCUGCUGCUUGUUACUGAUGUUGAAAAAUAAAAUCUUAUACAGCUUCAAA
rnacentral:lncRNA from 1 species